UUUUUUGUCCUAAUAAAUUACUAUCUCUGUCACUUAAAGGCUUUUUGAACAAGAUUAAUUUUUAUGUAGGCUUAUUUUAUUUAACUGCAUAUGAUGUAUAGGCUACUGUGAUCUUAGUCUGACAUGUUACUCUUUUCAUGUAUUAUUUUCUUUGAUAAUAUUGAGAAUUUAAUGGGUUGUGUGUUCUUAUAGAUACUGAUGGACGGAUUGUAUUAUUGGACCCUCCAGAAAGAACACAGUCUGUCAUGGUUGAUGAAGAUGAUGAAGAUGACGAUGAAGAGACCACAUCUGCUGUGACAGACGUGGACAAUGCUGGUAGAUCCACUGAGUACAUACCUAGGGAUUUGCCCACAGAUGAGGGUCCUUCAACCUCAGCACACAAUCUAAGCAGGGUAAGAAUUUGUGUCCAGGUGUCCAUAUUUGAAUUUUAUUGUCU